rnacentral:lncRNA from 1 species
GGACGGACAUCCUGUUCUUGGUGAUGUCACCAAUGUGCCGUAUUUUCUCUUGAUGAUGAUGGUCUUCACUUCAAUGGUAUCUGACUGAUAUCUUUGAAUAAUGAGAUCCCUCUGAUGCUUUGGAAGUUCUCUGCAGACCAUGGCUUGUGCUGGAAGAUGUGGCUACUAAAAUGUCAGGAAAAACUACUAGAACAGCUGAACUUUAUUUGGAGUUGAUCAGAGGCUCUUUAAUUGGUGACAGGUGUGUGCUGACUCCAAUUAACCCUGGGUUUUUAUGUUAUUGGCUAAAUCUGAACACAGCCACAUCCCCACUUAUUAAAGGGUGUGCACACUUAUGCAACCACAUGAUCUCAGUUCUUUAUUUUUAUCUCACCUCCCUGAAAGAUUUCUGUUUGCUUUUCAAUUGCAUUGUACAGAUUAUAGGUCACAUUAAAGGUGGAAAAAGUUGUGAAAUUAUUUAUCUUGAUCCUGUAUCCUGUAUGUGUUCACCAGAUAUAAUACACUUGAAUUUUUCAAAAACCAAACACAAGGAGACGUGAACAGUUAGAAGUUAGAAGAAAAUUAUCAAAGCUUGUUAUACCCGACAGCGUAUAAGAAAAUUGACACAUCGCAAAUUUAUUGUGAUGGCUGCUUGUGCAUCUGAUGUACGCAGACCUUCUGGGGUCACACUAUCAAGCCCAUGAAUUUUCUGCUUUGAAUUGCCAAAUAUUCACAUUUUUUAAUGCAACUUAAUGUCUUGUGCUUUUUGACUGAAAUCUUAUGAUUGUGUUGAGAAACAUUUUUAAUUCAGAUUUAAAAAUGAAUGGAAAAAGGUUUAUAUAUAUAUAUAUUUUUUUCAAUUUAUGGAAACAGAAGCUUUGUACUUUCCUUUCAUGCAUUGAUACUUGACAUAUAAUCAGGAAAAAAAAAAUUGGAGCCCAAAAGCGCACUUAAAUUUUUAGGACAUUCUUUACAGAGUAAUUGCAUUUCAGGUUGCCUGGUUUGAGAACAAGGCAUGUAACAUCUUAUAAGUUAUCAUGUUUCACCCUUUCCCCUGACUUAAAGGUAGGGUAGGUAGUGAUGUUCAGAGACACUUUUUGUCAUAGUGGAUGAAAUAGUUCUUCCACUCUGAGAGCAGUCAAUUCAUUAUGUAUUCAGAAAGAGAAAGGAAGAGAAUCCGAGAUCUGUGGCAGCCGCAAUACUGUAAAAACUUUGACCAAUCAUUGCAUUCGAUCCGAAUGUAAAGAACCAAUCAGAUGCCUUCAAGUCUUGCCCCGCGCCCGCGCCCGCCCAGCUCCCCUCAGCUUGGAAAGAUUACAGAUAAAUAACUACUGCAGAUAUUUUAGACAGAGUACUGUCUUCAUACCACACUCUCCUUCUCCUCAUUUUAGGUACCGCAAGCUGUAUAACAGAAAGUCCAGAGCAACGAGUUUGUUCACCAGAAAGGCCCCACAAGAUGUACAUCUGACCAAGAGGACUUAUUUAUGUUAUAUUUUAUCUUAUGUGUCAUCUUGUAUGCACCAUUACUACUGCUGACUCUGUUGUGACAAAAGUUGUUCAAGUCUUUGCUGAUGUUAUUGUCAAUGAUAAUUAUAAUUUACUAGUCUGCUAGUAAAUUGCCUAGGGAGUCGGAACGAGUGUCUGUUUGUGGUUGGGGCCUGCUGGAGCAGCAAGGGAGGGGAGAGGAGGAGCUGAGGGGAGAACUGGUGGGGAGGGGUAGUGUUUACAUUCAAAAUAACUCCCCAAUACUGUCACUUCUGAGACCCUGUCUACCCUAACUUUAAGGUGAAAACAAAGAGGGUUAGCAUUUCAUCAUUACUGACUACAGGUUAUAAGUUUGAGAAAAUGCAUCUCUGGCAAAAACAACAUUUAUGGGAAAGAUAAUAGGCUCAAACUCUAUGUGUCUCUAUGAAUGAACUGUAAAACAACCUUUCAGAAAACUACAGAGUAUAAAAACAGCCUUCUGGCGCAUCUCAGUCACAGACGCGUACCUCAAGGCCACCUGCCUGCAGAUCAAACCAGCUGCACAGCAGUAAAGGUGGGAUAAUCACAUAUCUCCUCUCAUACAUUGACCUGGAAGAUGAUUCUCGUGUUACUUGCCCAUAUAUUAUCCUUCUCUUUGUCUUUCCUUUUCCACAUGAAUUGGCUAAUCAUCUUGGUGCUCAGCUUUAAAUUGACCAUCAUCAUCAUGUGAAAUGAGUCAUGAUGGUCCUCCUAACAGUCCACUGCAUAACCAGCCAUCACACUCUGUUGUGUCGGAUUGUAUUGAACAACAAUUAUGGGCUGAAAUUGCUUCUUGAUUGCUAUGAAAUUAGUAUGACCUGCACAGGCAAAUAUGUAAACAAACAACAGAUGAAUUAGAAGGUGAUAAAUGCGUCACUUAUCUGUCAGUUUUAAGCAUUUGGUUGUGUUUGAUUUUGUUUUGAAAACCCAGUCAUUCCUUAAUCCCUCUGUUGCCACAAAACCUGGUACCAUGGGAAGCAUAUGCCACAAUAAACUUAUUCAGACCCCACAGAAGCACCAUCUGCUGAGCCUGUUAGGGUAUUGUUUUUUUUUUUUUUUCUUAUUUUCCCUGGGACUAUUAAUGCUCGUCUCAAUGUCACCUCACAUCUCUGUUCACCUGGCCUUACAGUUUUCUCUUUCCACAGUCGCUGUAUUUACCUAUGUGGACUCGUUAAAUGAGGCCACACAUUACUCUUAUUACACUUUUUUUGGUACCACAUAUUCCGCAGAACUGUCCCCUUACAGAAUAAAAUACAUGCAAAGGAAACUGGGCUUGUAAAUGGGCAGUUUGUCUAUUGCUUUCUUACAUUUAGGUUAAAAGUGGGUAAAAACGCAGCAAAAAUUUAAAGAGGAGACCUGCAGAACUGGAGAAGCCUUUUGGAAGAGAGGUAAGACAUCCUCAAAAAACUCCAGACGACCAUGACCUGAAUGAAUGAGAACCUACACAGCCGUUUGAAGAGGGGGUAGGAUGCACUUCUUUUCGACUCUAUACUUCCUCUCUGACUCCUCUUCACUAAAUAAUAAUAAAAAUAAUAAUUUGUAUUUAUAACGUGCUUUUACAAGUGCUCAGAAACGCUUUAUAAGGAACACAAUUUAAAUACAGAAAAAUUUGGAGUAAUACACCAACAAUGUAAAAGGUUAAAAAGGACAUAACAUGAAAAGAGAAUAAAAGAACAGUUUACAGGUUAAAAGCCCAUUUUAAAAGGUGUGUUUUAAGGAGUGAUUUAAAAGUAUGGGGGUCUGUACAGUCUUGGAUGGGUUUGGGGAGUGAGUUCAAGAGGUUGGGGGCAGCAACGGAGAGGGCUCUGUCCCCUCAAGUUUGGUGCUUGGUCCGAGGGGGUAGGGCAAGAAGAGUUCCCUCUGAGGAUCAGAGGGCACGGGAGGGGUGUAGUGGUGGAGGUCUGAGGUAGGUCAGGGCCAGGUUGUUGAGUGAGUUGUGGGUGAGCAGGAGGAUUUUGAAUUGUAAGUGGUGUGAGAUGGGGAGCCAGGGCAGGGGUGAUGUGUUCUCGGGAGUUGGUGAGGGUGAGCAGGCGGGCAACAGAGUUCUGAAUAUAUUGGAGUUUAUUGAGGACUGUUACAAUAAUCUAGUCUGGAUGUUAUGAAGGCAUGGAUCAAGGUAUAGACAAUAUCUUUAAUAUCUUUACAUGACUUUCAGAUUAACUUGGACUUGGACUGUAAAAUGAUACAGAAUUGACAGGACUGAAUGGGCUAUGCUAGGACAUAGUAUUAUACAGUAUGAUGUGAUCUUGUAUAUAAUACAAAGACAUAAGCCUCAUUGUCCUCUUUAAAAAAGAGUGGUGCAACCAUUUUCUACCGCUUAUUCCUGUUCCUGGGGACUUUUCCAGCAUCUUCGGACAAAAGCAGGGGACACCCUGGACAAGUCGCCAGUUCAUCACAGGGCUGACAUUAAGAGAUGAACAACCAUCCACGCUCACAUUCAAACCUACAGGCAAUUUGACAGUGGCCAAUCAACCUAACCCCACUUCUGCCUGUUUUUGGGAUGUGAGAGGAAACCGGAAUAAACCCACGCAGACACAGGGAGAACAUGCAAACUCCACAAAGAAACGCCCUGACCCAGAUUCGAACCCCUGACCUUCUUGCUGUGAGGCGAUUGUGCUAACCACUACAACACUGUGCCGCCCUAAAAGAGUAGUCUUGGAUUGAAAUGCUGCUAAGAUUUACUUUCAUUCACUCAAAUAAUUCAGAAGGCAGGAAGUAAUGAGAUAAUAAUGGCAGAAAGCAGAGGUGACCAUGUACUAUUUAAGUUUAAACCAGGUCAAAGCAAAGCUCUUCUUGACAUAAACCAUGUGUUUUAUGUGUAAGAUCUUGCAGGUUAAUCAAUCUAAAUUGCACCGCGCCAUUUCAUGACAAAUGUUAUCCCGAGACGUUUAAAAAAAAACAAUACCUGUUACCUGCCGUCAGCAGAGGCAGUUGUUUAUUGCUCCCAAGUGUUCCUGUAGGUUGUAUUAGCUGGUGGGAAUAAAUGACCUCUGUGGUUGUUUGGCUUGGAGGACUUGUUGGAUAAAUGACAAGUAAUCCCAAAGCCCCCACAGCUGAUGAAGAGUCAUGGGACCUGCUGUUCUCACAACAUCUGCUCCAGCUGUUGUGGAAAGUGCUCCACUCAUUAUAAAUCCAUGAUAAAGCAGCAAUGGCAGAUACAUGCUGUUUAGAAAUGUCACACAAACCCUCCUCUGAGGUCAAGUUGAACAGUAGUGGUGUGUUGUUGCCAGCUGAUGAUACCUUCCUCAUGCUGUGACACCCACAUUUCAUGUUAGGCUGGAGAAAGACUGAACCAUUGUGAUCCUCCUAAAGGUAAAAGUGCGCUCCAUGGCCUGGCUUUUUCUUCCACUAAUGUUUGCAUGUAAAAUGAACUUGACUCAUGCAAGUGAAUAUUAUAAUAACGGCAUGAAAGUGUCUUUUUUUUAUUGUUUUGUUAACAUUUUCAAAAUCCAAAUCAAUGACUCACUUAAUCACUAAAAUAAAUAAAUGUGCAGUCUUUACAGAAGGUUCACAGGGCCUGUCUGCUCCCUGUGGCCUCUGCUGUUACUCUGAAGCCGAUGCUUCUGUAAUCCUGUGCCAUCCACCACCCCUGCCUGUCCUAGGUGGCCAUCAAGGCUCCCUUGACAGCACGUAGUGUCCGGCUACCAUUUUUUACUUUUUACUGAAAUUUGUGUUAUUAAAACCUCUUCAUUUGCUUAUAAAAUCAGAUAUUCCAAAUUACAGCUGCAUAAAUACAAAAAGAAAAAAAAAAGGAUAAGAAACUUAGGGCCUGAUCUACUAAGAUCCCAAAUAUCGAGCGCUAAGUUGCGUGUGCAUGUUGCGGGUGAUCUACUAUCAUUGCGUGCGCGAUUGAUAACAGGUGCAAAAGUGGUGCAGACUGCCCUCUUUUGACGAGGAUUUUGUGUGCGCUAUCUGCUGUCACCAUGGAAAGUUUGUGAGAGCAGAGUGGUUGUAGAUGAAAAAUGAAGUUUGAAGCCAUGGAGUUUCACCUAUCGUUUGGGGGAACUGCAGAAAAAGUUUAUUUGUAAAACACCAUUUAUACACAAGGCAAUUCAAAGUGCUUUACAGAUGUAAGAAAAUGUAUUUGAAAUGAAAAAAAAAAGAUUCAAAUAAUUUAAAAUCAAUAACACAAAGAGAUAAAUUUUGUGACUGCUCCAUGUUUGACCUAAUCAUUUAUCAAAACCGUCACUAGAAAAACACUUUUGCCUCUUUCUCCAUGCAAUGACUGCAGCCAUUUGUGCGAAACACUGUACUAGUUAGCACGUGCCUUUCAAACGUGCUACAUGAAGAUGCAAAAUAGCGACCACAACUGGUUUCCUGGUUUGGUAAAUCUCGUUGUGGAUGCUAAAUGAUUCCAUUUGCAUCUGCUCCUCCCAGAAUUUUGUGCGGUCUGAUGGUCUACAUACAUUCUGCAUAUUCAUGAAGGCAAAUAUGCUAAAUGGAUUGCGCAUGCUGCGUUCCUCAUUUGACAGACGCACGCAAACCUUUAGUAGCUCAUGCCCUUUGAGUUAAAAAAGAAAUAUACUCAAGUGUUAUUUUCUAUAUACAUGUGUAAAGCAUAUACAUAUAAAUAUAGUUUAUUGCACACUGAAGUUUCUGUUGUGGAGUCUGACAGCUGCAGGAAGGAAUAACCUGCGAUAACUCUCCAUCACACACUUUGACUGGAGCAUCCUGUCCUUUAAGGAGCUCCUCAGCGCAAUGAGUGUGUGUUAUAAUCUCUCUCUCUCUCGCUCUCUCUCUCAUUUUUUGCUUCUUGUGAUAUCCCUGUAAAUACACACAAAAGAUUUCAGUCUGUCCAAUCCAUAAGUAAGAUUGUUCAGUUCUACUCUUUUCUAAAUCAACACCAAAAUGGCUAUGGCGAGGUCACCAUUAAUUCAGUGAUGGUACAAUAGUCUUCUAAGUCAGCUGAUGAGACCUACAUAGCCACACUGACAUGUUAAAACAAACACACUGGCUCUCGCGCACUUAGGCACAGCAGAAGCUUGCGGCGCUGAAGCAGAUGAGCUUACAGUAAGUCAUAGUGACAGCUGCUUCUUUCUGUGAGUCACAAUAAAUAUACUAAUAUCUGCACUCUCAUUCUUACUGUCUCCUUCUCCUACCUCCAGUCGCCUCUCACUGUUUCUGAGAGAAAGCAGACUGAAAUUUACCGUCUCAUUUCUGGUCUGCCUGUUUCUCAUUCUCUGCUUUGGCUUGCUCGCCUUCUGUCCUUUUCUUUAUUUCUUUUAUAAAUCAGACUAACGAAAAAAAAAACCCAACAACUCUUUAGUACUGGCAUUGGCAGUAGAUUUAUGGUGAUGUACAUACAUGCAUGCUGCUAUUCACUGCUCAGCAGAAACCCUCAGGGCUGAAUCUAGUAGUAACCUCAUCAGUGAAGAAAAAGCUAUGGUUCCUUGUUUACAGCCACUACCAAAAGCAGUUUUGGUGACAGAUGGGAGCCCCUAGCUGUGCGCUCAGUGUCAACUUAGUUAAUUCCAGUCAGUGAACUUAAACUCGGCCAUGUUUGUGUUGUUGGUGCAUUUUAGAGGAUGUGUCAUCUAAGAACUAUGGCAAUGUUGUAUGUUUGUUAAAAAAAUAACUACAGACUGUUUUUGUGGAGGUCUUUUACAGCUGUUUGUCCCAGAAUAUGCCCUGCUCUGCAUGUGUUUUAAUAAGAAAAACACACAUUAACAUUAUGUUGUGUCUCUAUCCUGUUACCUGUAUCCUGACUCAAAAAACACCCGUUCAUCAAGAAUAACCUGCAGCUCAUUACAUACAGGCUGUUUAGAAACCGAUGAGAGAUUGUGAUCUGUUUCCAGGUAGCGCUCUGUUCAUAAACCUCAGUGAGUGUGUGUUUCCUUUGAAACACUUCUGUGGAGGGUGUUCAGGUAUCUCCUCACUUAUCGUCUUAGAGAUUUCCCUGCUCUCUCUUUUUUGUGUUCUCUCUCUUCCACGCAGCAGUCAGAGCUUUGCAAAACUCUUUCACAUGGUGACAGGGGCGCCGCCAGGAAUUUUGGGCCCCAUGACAAAAAAUCAAUUGGUCCUCAUUUGUCAUCACCUCUGGAGGACCUAACUGUCCCAUCAAACAUUUUACAUAACUGAAAUUAAAGGCUUUUAACUUGCUUCUUGUAGUUUAUUACUACUACUAGCACAAUAUUUACUGCUUGUGAUUUGUACAUCCAAGUCUACAGGAUGCAGUUUACUAUUUGACACAAUUGCAUAGUCAACUUCCGGCCAUGUUCAUAAUUAAAAUAAUAAGCCUGUAUCUAAAGAUGUCAUUUAACAGUCAUAAUCUAAAUGAAUGUAUCAAUAUUAAUAUCACUUGCAUGCAGGUUGAGGUAAGCUACUCACUUUUUCCAACUGUCCAGCAACCAGUACAGACAGUAGGCUGUUUCUAAUCUUUUAUUAUUUCAUAAUGAUCAUUAAGUGAGAAAUAAUUUGUGUUUAAAUUUAUGUAAUGAAUAAAUAUUUCUCUUUUUUUGAACUGUAAAAAAAAGCAAGAGAGACAGAGAGAUCCACAGACUCCCUGCAAUGAUGCUAACUGUCAUGUCAUAGAACACAGUGUUGCUCACCUUCUUCACUGGGAUAGGAGUGGGUGAGGGUAUGGGGAGACUUGGGUGCUGCUGAAUCAUCUGUUGUUUAGUCUGGUAAUAGGGACAAGGACAAUGAUUUGAUAUGAAUAUCUUGCUAAAUGUUUUCCUGCAAUGAUUACACGUUGAUGAAAUAGGCUAACGCUAGUCCGUAGCUUGCUAGCUUACUUCGCAAUAGACAGAAAUAGGCAACCUAUCUUUCUUAGUAAAGAGGUGUUAAGCUCUUUUGUCUCUCUCUCUUGCUUUCCUGUCUUUUCUUUUCUGAAAAAAAUAACUGGUUUUACCUUCUUGGGCAACAUUGUGGUCACUCAUUAUAGUAACUUAAAUCUCCUGUCCCCACUGCAAUAAAACACGUUUCUGAUGCGCUAAGGCAGCUACAGGACCAAACCAUUUCAUACAAUGGGGUGGUCGGUCAACAGGGAUGUUUAUUUUGCAGUCAAUUGGAAUUUUUAACAUUAACUGCCAAAAACAAGUAAAAACAAAGAGGUCAAUAAUUCUAAGAAUUUUAUAUUUAACAUAUAUAUAUAUGUGUGUGUGUGUGUGUGUGUGUGUGUGUGUGUGUGUAUGUGUGUACAGUUCCUAAUUAUACGGCACCGCUGCAUGGUGGAUCUGCAAAUACUUCUGUUUCAACUGAGGACCAUGUAACUUUAAUGGAAGAGCUUUGGGAUCUGGCCUUUUCUCUCCCCGCAGUAUAGUCCAGCUGCACAGGUACUGAUCCCACACAGGGCACCAAGGUCAAUAUUUCAAUAAAACAUUUUCCUGCUCUGCUCACAAGGGAGUUUAAGC